rnacentral:lncRNA from 1 species
ACAGAUUUACUAAAGUUCAUACUUAUGUACCAACAAACAACGCCGUCGUUGGAGUCAUAUAUACUUUAAUUGCAAGUUUUACUCGUUUAGGUUGCCACGUUAUUUAUGGCAUGAAACAAAAUAUGUCAAUUUAGUUACCGUUUUGUUCAACAAAUUAAUCUCUGAAAAAAAAAAAACAAAAUCCUUUCACGAAUACGCAAUUUAUAGGAUUUAUAGUUAUGUACACAUGUGCAUGUGAAAAUUA